CACAUGCAAGUGCAACACAUACUUCGUUCCUGUUAUUUGCUACGAUGGCAAUAGAAGCCCUUGAGAAUGGAGAGGUUCCAGUUGGCUGUCUGAUGGUUUACAACAAUGAGAUUACUGAAAAAGGAAGAAAUGAGGCUACUCGGCAUGCAGAAAUGGUGGCACUGGAUCAAGUGCUCGACUGGUGCCGUUUCAGAGAAAAGGACCCAAAGGAGGUAUGUAAACGUGUUGGUGGAGCCAUGUAUCAUGUGUGCGGCUGCCCUGCGCCUGUUACGGGUCCUCAAAACUGGGUUAUGGCAACUUAAAUGUUUAAAAAAGCUGGUUCUAGUUUAGUGAAGUUUGUAUUUAGAUCUUUGCCGUUGUCUCUUCCCAGUAAACGAGAACAAUCUUUUUUUUUUUUUUAAAUGUUAUCCCCUUUUCUCCCCAGUUUGGCAUGUCCAAUUCCCACUACUUACUAGGUCCUUGUGGUGGCGUGGUUACUCACCUCAAUCCGGGUGGCGGAGGACAAGUCUCACUUGCCUCCGCUUCUGAGACAGUCAAUCCAUGCAUCUUAUCACGUGGCUCAUUGUGCAUGACACCGCGGAGACUCCGCAUGUGGAGGCUCAUGCUACUCUCCGCGAUCCACACACAACUUUCCACACACCCCACUGAGAGCAAGAACCACUAAUCAUGACCAUGAGGAGGUUACCCCAUGUGACUCUACCUUCCCUAGCAACCGGGCCAAUUUUGGUUGCUUAGGAGACCUGACUGGAGUCACUCAGCACACCCUAAAUGAGAACAAUCUUAAGCAAAAGGAAAAUGUUCUGAAGUACUUGCAAUUACAAGAGUAAUAUUCUUACAGUACUUGUGCAUGCAUCUGAAUGAGAAAACAACCUUAACUGGUAGACAGACAUACCUCUUGUUGUAUAUGGGUGAAAGAAUGAGCGGUUCAGAGGCUGUGGCUCAGUCCUGGACAUCUCAUCAGAUCAUUUACCACACACUGGGAUGUCAUUUAAGGUAAAAGAAUUCCUGCCAGUGUGGCUUGAGUACUUUCCUAGUAAAAACUGCCACGGUGUUGCCUGGUGUUCAGACCAGACCACACUGAGUAUUUUUAGUGUAGUACAUGCUUAUUUGCUCAUUACAGUACAUCUCGGGCUGUAGAGCAGAAGAGGUGGUUGAAAUUCUCAAGACAUUUUAUAAGCAGGAAAAUCCAAAUGGUAAGGGAAAUCUUAUUAUUGUAUACAUGCAUGCUUCUGGACUGAAUUCCCAUUAAUAUAUUCAUUGUAAUAUUUCUGAUACUGAUAAUUAUCUCCUGUUUGUUAGCUCCCAAACCUAAAGCAAGGAGAGAUUCAAUUAGUCCACCAGGUGGCGCUAUAGUCAUUCAGCUAAAACAAGGACCACAAGAUGAGGACAGAGGAACAAAUAACUCCUUUAAGCUGAAAUGCUAUUUGAGGAACCUUGAGGAACCAGUGAUCACAUUACCUCAUUAGCUGGACCACAUCGCUUGUAAACCUGACUUCAGGCCUCCUCUUCUUUGUGGCUUUCCUAAGCAUCUGGAAGUUGUGUGUUGUUUGUUAACAGCCUGUUGAGGCGAUAUACUGGGUCUGUUCUGUGUUAAAUCACAGGUUCUUCUCCAGCUCUUGAUUUCCCUGUGUCCUUAUAUAACCAAGAACACUGGUUCUGAACCCUCAGUGAUCUCAAUCCUGGGCUCACCAUAGCAAAUGCAGGGGCAGACGCAAGAAGAGUUUCCACUACCUCAUAGCAAGAGACUUUCAUUUGAAGGCCAUAACUUUGAUACACCUGUGUUGAAUUUUCAUAUCUUCAGUUUGUAAACCCAUGUAACUUUCAGAAACACUUAAAUGCACUCAGGAUGUCCUCAUAAGCACUCUUCCACUUGUGAAAGAAUUAAUGUCAUGCUGUGUUUAUGGUUAUUAAAGUAUAAUGUAGCUCUCAUGAACAGUACCAUAAUGGUCUCUAAAGCCCACAUUAUAAAAUUGAUAUGUAAUGUGUUAUUAGUGGCUAGAAGUGCUUUUUUUUUUUUUGCGGGUGUACGUAUGAAAGAGAAAUCAAGCGGUUUUGGAAGUAGACAUGAGGUGUCUGGGACGUUUAGAUCUGUCAUUUUUCAAGGCCUGUCUUCUUACAUAGUUACGGGUUCUGCCGGCCAUAUCAUAUGUUUGAAAAAUAUCCUCGGUCAGUCAGAUACUGCACUGUUAUUGUCAUUGUAAGUAGAGAACCCAUGUGUUUUAUUGUUUUGUGAUGAAUGAUCAGACAUUGAGUGCUCACAGCUGGCUUUUUAAAUAUGAACGUACUGUCUUGACUUUGAAAUUACAGGAACUGUCAUGAAUAAAUAAAACAAUAAAAUCAUAAUUUAGACUCGUUGUGUAAGUAUUACGAUCUUAGUAACCUAUUCAAAACAGCAAGCUACUGGUCCCAGACCUGGUCUGGCAUUUAAAAGGUGCUAUGCCCUGGCAGAGUUACGCCAUGAGUCAGUGCGAAUAAAAACAUUGUACAACAAGCUGCACCCACCUACACUGUGCCUGUUCAGAUUGAGUGAGAGCAGUAUUUCGUCUCUAA